UUGACAUUCUCUCGCUUCUCAUUCCCGGCGGUGACGGCGAAUCGUAGCCCCGCCUUGGCGACUUCUUUCGUCAUCGACGGCUUCCUUGGUGGCUGGAUCUGGAGGUCGGGCCCAACGCGUACCUACUCUUGUCGUCGAUGGGAUUGCCUGAUGCGGCCGAUCUGGAGCUACUCGCGCCGGAACCUGAGCUCUUGAUGUGCCCCUGCUCCAGCCAUCGAGCGGUGCCUGAUGGCGGCGGAUGAGGCUGCCUGCGCCGCGCUCCAGCUGCCGACGUUCCCUGAUCUAUAUAAACUAUGGAAGGAGCGCUGCGCCCAACAUUGAUACUUUGUGAAUCUGCCGCGCAGCUGCUCCUGGAGAUAGUCCAUUCGCCAUUGAGUAAAAGCUGGAGGUGCAUCCUGUGGAGCCUAUCUACCUUGAUGAACUGCAGAAGGCUGUGUUUGUCGAUAAGGCUGUGAAUUCGAGUCCAAGUCAGAGGUGAACUAUGAGUUUGUUGGUGCUUCUGUUUGCUACCACCUCCGAUGGUGUCUGUUAGUUUCAGGCUGCUGCCUCUGCUAGCAUAGAUCAUGAAUGUAAUGGUUUUAACUGACUGCUUGUUGUAACUCUGAAUAUGUGUCGGCUGUACGUGUGAAUAUUUGACAUAAGUUAUUACUG